rnacentral:lncRNA from 1 species
GGAAAAACAACUCAGUGUAGUGUUCUGUGUGCACAUUUAUUUCUUUCAAAGAUUGUUUGUGUUCCAGCCACAUCUUCUCCAAAGGAACCCACCCAAGCCCGUGUGCAGGCUUGCUGCAGGGCUGUCUUCGGCGUUUAAAGUGCUACUGAGGAAUACAAUCAUUGUCACGUAAGUUCAUCACCGCACUCCAGCGUCAGGCCAAACCUUUCCGUGGACCUGGAAAACCUGCCACUUUCUUCUCUUUUUACAAUGCAGUUUCGACAUAACAUUGGUAGAGUAAACAACAAACCACAAGCCUAAAUGAUGAAUGGUGCGCUGCUGCCCAGCUGCUAACUGAGAGAACGAGGCAGUGUAUUGUGUUUCGAAUGCAAACGGUCAUGGACCCAAGUUAACCUGAGUUUGCUCUGCAGGAUUCCGCGGGGGCCUUGCCCUGUGCAGGCUGCUUUGGUCUUCGUGUCUAGGCCGGUUUGGGGCAGUGGGGAGAGGGCCUGGCAGCAGGGUUUACGCCAGCCCCGAGGUCUGUUUUCCGUCAGACAGAGAUACGUGUCCUGCCUUCCACCAUCCACCAAUUUGUACUCUGAAGUUUCCAGAUCAAGAGCCGUGAGAUUACUACCCAGGAAACACCUGCCUUCGGUGGCCAGCAGUGUAAAUUAAUCUUUCCCUCUCUGCUCAAAGCAACUUUGCAACUCUCGUCUAUAGAGGUGGCCAGUAAAACCCAAGCAAAAAUCUAAACGGGCACCAGGUGGCCACUGAGUGG